GGGAGUGUAUUUUAUUGUCUGGAGUCUUACCCCUCCGCUACUCCUUAGUUUUAAAAACAGUAUUGUGAAAGGGAGAAAAUAUAAGUAAACAUUUCAGGGGCAUUUACUUAAAUAAUAUGGGAAAUUGCAGGCUGUAUUUGUGUGUCACCAUUCCUGCCCUGUGUUGAUUCACUGAAUCGAUAUUUAGUGCAUAACCACAAACAAGCAUUAUAUGACUGUCUCACGAGUAGGAAACUGUGUAAUUGAAGGAACAAUGGCUGUCCCCUCUUUCCACAGGAACUCUAACCCAGCUGCAACUUUGAAGUCAUCAUUGUUAUGGGGUGAGCAGAUUUCAGGCAUGCAGGAUCUUUUUUUAAAAAAACAACAACCACCAAGAACACCAAGAUCCAUCAAGGAGAAUCAGGUGCCAAAGGACGUUUGCUGAAGCAAAUCUCAUCACUCAGAGACUGACAGCUGAAUGUGUGAAGUACCUCAAUUGAAAAAUACUGUUUGAGGUCAUGACAGGGUGUAGAUUGGUGCUGCAGGCCUGCAUGCGACCGAAGAGAGGACAACAUCAGCAUCAUGCAUUGUCUGGGAAGAGAGAUCGUCAAGAUUUAAGGACAAGGGACAGGGAUCUGUUAAAAAGGGCAAAUGCCUUAAAGGAAAUCCGAAGCACAUUAAGGCUUCAGAGCCAUGUCUAUGGAAAAACCUCACAACUUUAACUGAAAAAAUACCAUGUCUAUCCAAAGAAGCACAUCAUGGUGUACAGAAUCUAAGGAAAAUCUCUGCAACAUUUAAAAAAACAACAAUUUGCUUCAAACUGUUUUUAAUAUUGCAUUUUAAAAUUACCACAACACAAGAGAACAAAAGCGAUAAACUGCUAAUUAAGGGACAAACUGUAGGGGGUGCUAGAAUCUCAGCUAAGAUAGCCUAGGCGCAUUCCAUUGUUAGUGAUGUGAUGAUUAUCAAAGCUAUUGUGAAAGCAUAUGUUAGUCAUAGCAAUCUCCUUGGUAAUAGAGAUCUGGAGGAUUUAGAGCCUGCUCUGUGCGGAGAAAGUGAAAUGGUGCUCUCUUUUCUUAAUUUGUCUGCCACGAUUGGCAUUGCUGUGUGACAGGUACAAGGAGGGCAAGAAUGAAUUCCCAGAUCAUAGGUAGUUGCCUUAUACCAGGUGUCAGGGGUCCCUCAG